rnacentral:lncRNA from 1 species
UUAUUUUAUCGCAUCUAAAAUUUUAAAUACGUUCAAUAAUUUAUAAAUUUGAUUAGGCUUAUCCUUACAUUUAGUAAUAAACUUAAAUAUAAUUUUAAUUAUUUAACUAUCCACAAAAAGUGUAAUAUAUAUAUAAAUUUUUAUCUUUGAUAAGAUGAUACAACGAUGUCUAAAAUCUUGUCAAAAUUUAAAUACAGUAUAGAAUCUAUAUAUUAAUACUCGAUAAAUUAAUUAACACAAUAAAUUAAUAAAUUUUUCUAGUCCCAAGUUAGACGGAUUCAAAAUAUGACUCAAAUCAAUAAUAUAAUAAAAUAAUUUUUUUUAUAGAAAAUUUUAUGUAAAUAUAUAGCCC